CCAUUUUGAUCAAAUUAAAUGAACCAUACGUUAACAGGAAAAAUAUAUUGGGGCACAUAUGUGUAGUUGGCAAGAAAAAUAUUGAGUAAUAUAUAACAACAAGAACACAUGACCCGCAUAAAGCUGAGGAAAGACAACGGAGACAAUAAAUAUGUUAUUUGAGCUAUAUGAUCUCCUUUUCAUGCCUUCAUUAUCAUCCAUAUAUAAUUCUCUUAGUUGAUGAUUACUCGUGCGAACAAAGAAGCAUAUAAAUACAUUUUCCAAUAAUGUAGAACCUUCCUCUCUUCUUUUUCAGAAACUUCCCAACUAGUUUUGGUGAAGACGGCUUCUUCUUCUUCUCCCAAUUCUUCACUGUCUCAUCCUUUGAGUUCUCCAUCACUGUUUCUCUCUCUAUAUAUAUAUAGAAGUUUUUUGUUUCUUUUAUUGUGAGGUUUUGUUGCAACUUGAUGAUUGUGUUAUAUUUAAAAGGAAGUGAGGGGUUCAUCAUUAUAUUGGAGCGAGAGCGAAAGGGAGAUAAGGAGAAAGUAUUCCACACCAUUGAUUCGAGGCCCUUCAACGAAACAACACAAAAACAAAGGCCACUUGUGGAGUGUGACCGACUAGCUUCCCAUUAUUGUUGAAAAUAUUUGAUGCAUGUAUUUGUUUUCUUGUCUCCUUUCAGUUCAAAAAGAUCUAUAUUUGAU
rnacentral:lncRNA from 1 species